rnacentral:rRNA from 1 species
CGUACACUCCUGCGGGAGGCAGCAGUGGGGAAUAUUGGACAAUGGGCGCAAGCCUGAUCCAGCCAUGCCGCGUGAGUGAUGAAGGCCCUAGGGUUGUAAAGCUCUUUCACCGGAGAAGAUAAUGACGGUAUCCGGAGAAGAAGCCCCGGCUAACUUCGUGCCAGCAGCCGCGGUAAUACGAAGGGGGCUAGCGUUGUUCGGAAUUACUGGGCGUAAAGCGCACGUAGGCGGAUCGAUCAGUCAGGGGUGAAAUCCCAGGGCUCAACCCUGGAACUGCCUUUGAUACUGUCGAUCUGGAGUAUGGAAGAGGUGAGUGGAAUUCCGAGUGUAGAGGUGAAAUUCGUAGAUAUUCGGAGGAACACCAGUGGCGAAGGCGGCUCACUGGUCCAUUACUGACGCUGAGGUGCGAAAGCGUGGGGAGCAAACAGGAUUAGAAACCCCAGUAGUCCCAUGAU